AAACUCCGAUUCACACUGCCACCAUCCACCAUCCACCAUCCGUCAAAAACAGCUGAUGCCAAUAACAAGUUCAUUAAAUUUGCGCGGAAGAUUUAUUAAUUCUUGGUUCUUAUAAUGGAUGAUGAAGAUAUAGCAAUUAUUUCGGCUGUGGUUCAACAGCAAAAUAUUUUCUUGCACCAACUAAUAAUGUUGCUGUCAAUGAAUAAUGAUGAUGACGAUGAUGACUUUAACAUUGACGAGGAUGAGAUGACCCAGAUGACUGCCAUAAAAACACAAAAGCCAGGAAGAUUAUGGUCGUUUAAGCGGUUCCGGACAUUUUGGGAGAAAGAUGUACCAGAAAACAACGAGGCGUUUUUCAAAGAGAGUUUCCGAAUGGAGAGGCCCUGCUUUGAUAUUUUAGUGAAUCGGCUUGAAGUGCUGCGAAAGAAGGACACCAACUGCCGAGCUGCAAUUCCUUUGGAAAAGCGCAUCGCCAUUGCGCUAUACACUUUAUGCUCGUCCUCUGAAUACCGAACAGUUGGCAGGCUUUUCGGUGUAGCUCCAAACAGUGUGUGUAAUAUCCUGCACGAGUUUUGCAGAGCACUUAUCGACGAGUUUUCGAAGGAGUACAUGUCGCCCAAUUACCUAACUUCCGACAAAAUUGAUGAGUGCGUAAAGGGAUUCGAGGCAAUUGGGUUUCCUCAGUGCCUAGGUGCAAUUGGUAGGAAAUCAAUAAGAACGAAAUAAAACCACCAGCAGCUGAGGCAGUAGACCACCAUAACUAUAAGGGCUGGUAUUCCACAGUCUUGUUUGCCCUAGUGGAUUAUAGAUACAGAUUUACAUAUGUAAAUAUCGGCUCUGCAGGAAGGUGCAAUGACUCGAUGAUAUACCAGAAGUCAAGCCUUGCAAAACACAUCGAAGCAUCGGCAUUACUCCAAGAGAAAGCCAAGGAAAUAAGCGGAGUAAACGUCCCUGUAAUGCUUAUCGGGGACUCGGCAUUUAGGUUUUCUAAAAAGCUGAUGAAACCUUACCCGUUUUCCACAGUCGCCUCUUUGGAAUAGCGCACGUUUAACUACAACCUUUCCAAAGCUAGGGGAGUGGUGGAAAAUGCAUUUGGGCAUUUAAAAGCCAGAUUUCGAAUAAUCGGAAAAGGUCUUGAUAGCCACCACAAAAAUAAUAGCGCCAUAAUAAUGAGCUGUUGUAUUUUACACAAUAUAUUAAAUAUGCACAACAGCGCGAUUAAUGAAAAUUGGGAGCUUGCAACAAAUGAGCAGCGCGAACAGCCCGAUACCAGCAACAGUUCUGCUGACUUUAAUCAGUCAGCAGAACAGAUACGAUCUGCAAUCGCAAAAUAUUGUGUAGACCGUAAUGAAAAUUAAAAACUUAUUUAUUUUUAUUUUUUAAAACUUCUAAUAAGUCGUUCUGGAAUUUUGUUUGGGUGCUGAUCAAGUCCUGCACCAUCUUCUCCUGCCUAACGUGUUGCUCCUCCUUCUUUCUGUGGUGGUCCUUUUGUUGUUCGAGACGCUCCUGGGUGAUCUCUGCCAGCCACGAAAUGUCGGUCUUUUUCUUUUUCUUUGGCGGACGCCCAGACAAGGUGCUGGAGCUACAAGAUCCGUCCAGGUCCA